CAACAGAAGACAGAAAAAAUACAUAGAAUCCAAAUGAGCAUUGACAAUGACGCCGUUUAUUCCUAAUUUACAUUCAGUCUCAUGGAUCUGUAACUGUGUUUUUCAGAUGCUGGACCAACUGUGUUGGAUCGUCAGCCAUGAAAUCAGAUGAGCAGUUUUGUUCUUUUCAGGUCUUUUUGCGGUCUGGGCUUGCUGUCAAAUGACUAUCCAGGAAGCCCUUACCCCAAAAAGCAUCUGCAAGGGACCCUUACAUCAAGGAAGGUUUUCAUGGAAUUCCCUCUUGACACUUGACCUCAAUUUUUAUAUUUUUUGAAUUCAAUGUUUUUCAAUUUGCUCAUCAAUCAAGUUUGAGAGAAUACAAUUGGGAAAUUUGACUUUGCCAACACAAAAGGUUCAUGUUUCCUGAGCAUCAGAAUUGAAACCCAUUACUCCAAUUCUCAAUGUGUCUGAAGCACCACAUAGUUCCUCCAGAGGGUGGCAGCAUUGCUCAAUUCUAUUGACGCUGAGGAAAUCUGACUUGAAUCCACACACGACAAAUCCAUGGACAGACAAGCAGUUAAGAUGAUGACCAUGAUCUUGAUGGUAGUCUCCUUGUGUGUUGCAUAUAUAAUGCCAUAAGCUAGUAAUUUUAUUUAUUCAUGAUUACAAUCUUUAAUGUAACACAGGUGUAACAUUUGUUUUCUACAUUUUGUUUGGCUGUUCAAGUGUGUCAUACAUUUUAAAAAAUCUGGAGGCACACAUUUUGUCCAUAAAGUGAAUGAGAAGUUGUUGUCUCUGCUAGUAUUUAGCAGCCUACACAGCAUUGCAUUGGUGAAGAAUGUGAAUUAUGAGCUCCUGUGAACACGUCUCGACUCAAUAAAAAAAUGUCCGCACACA